GACGAACCGAGCGAACGUUAUUCGGAAUCACUGGGCUUAAAGGGUGCGUAGGCGGGCUCGUUAGUCAGGGGUGAAAUCCCACGGCCCAACCGUGGAAGUGCCUCUGAUACUGCGGACCUCGAGGGGGAUAGGGGCGUGCGGAACUUCCGGUGGAGCGGUGAAAUGCGUAGAUAUCGGAAGGAACACCGGUGGCGAAGGCGGCUCUCUGGACCGUAACUGACGCUGAGGCGCGAAAGCGUGGGGAGCAAACAGG
rnacentral:rRNA from 1 species